rfam:Tupaia chinensis contig39942, whole genome shotgun sequence.
GUGCUUGCUUUGGCAGCACAUAUACUAAAAUCGGAACAAUACAGAGAAGAUUAGCAUGGCCUCUGCGCAAGGACGACCUGCUAGUUCAUGAAGCAUUACUUUUUUGU